UCUUCCAAACAUACUGAUAGAAAUCUUGGUGGAAUUUAUAUAAAAAUUGAAAAAUGAAGCAUUUACAUCUACCCACAGAGAAGAAAUAUAAAGAAGUGUGCUGAAUAGUAAAGGCACAAAGACCUUGUUUGUGUCCACACAGCAUAUAUAGCCUUAGGAACCAAAUAUCUUGUUGUGUCAUUAUAAUGGAAGAUACCACCAAGUGUUGAAGAAUGUAGAGAUAGAUAAAUUUGUUGCAGCAUGGAAGUUCCAAAGAUUUUGAAGUGAAUGCAGAGAAUGUAUUUAGACUAUACACACUUAGCUGUGAAGUUGCAUCAGUCAUGGUCACUGGAUCCUGGCCACAGAAUGAAUGGUAAUGGGGGUAGCCAUGAUCAUUGGUUGAAGAUUAUACUGGAUUCAAGGAAUCUUUCUGAUGAAAAAAUAGAUGGUCUAUGAUGUGCCUCAUCAUCACCAAAAUCUACACUGCAAUCUUUAUCUCACUUGGUAUAUCUCAUUGUACAAAGUUAUGAACAUAUUAUAUAUGGAAGACUCCAUCAUAUCUGGA
rnacentral:lncRNA from 1 species